GGAAAGGGUGGGGAGCCAUGUGAGAUUCGCUGUCCAGAGGAUUCCAUCCAGGAUACCACAUUGCCUGUGACCAUCAUGUCUGUUUAUGAAAAUCUGGAGAAUGAAAUGCCUUCAGUUCAGCCACAUGACUCCCAUUAGCUUUGAUGGGAGCAAGACAUCUUCAUGAAGGAAAAGAAUCAUCACACAGUGCAUGAAUAACAGCCAGCCCAGGGCCACAGAAAGGCCUCACUACAGCACACAUCAUCAGCUGUGUCCUUGGGGGCUGGUCCUGUCCAAGUCCAACCCUACUUGGGAUGAGCUGGGAUUGAACCAUCAGGGUCUGUUGGGAGCUCAGCAUUCAGAGACGCCUCCUCUGGGGCCCCCUUGAAGCCUCCAGAUCGGGGCAGGGUGGGAUCUGCCAUAUCUUUCGGAAAAGCCCAUGCCUUGCUGAUUUUCAGUGCUUUCUCUUCCUCAACUCCAGGGCAUACCUGUGUGACCCCAGGGCGAGUCCCGUUGUGCCUAGACUUUUCUGAAAAAUUCCAAAUAUUUUUAUGCAUGGGUUGACCUUGAAAGAC